GGUUCUAUACUUUAUUUUUUUAGAAGAUUUGGUUUGCAACCAGAAAGAAGACUGAUGUCUUAGGACCA
rnacentral:tRNA from 1 species